ensembl:lncRNA
CAUGGAAAAGCUUUAAGAUUUAGUGAAAAAAGAGAAAUGAUCAGAUAUUUCAUUUGCUAAUGACAUUAGAAUUUUAAAAUCUUUGUUUACAAGCCAGUUAGCCUAAAUGUAAUCCUAUCUAGACUCCUAUAUGCAUGUACACAUAACAUUCAUCUUUCCCUCUUCUGUUGCCCCUAUAUUCCUAUUAUCAGGAGAUUAUUUCAAGAAUACUCAUCUUCCAGUUCUAUUUUAUUUAGAAGAGCUGCUGCUCUUUACUACUAAACUUAUUUCUAUGCUUAUUGAUGGUAAGAUAUGAUGAAGAAAAAAAAUCUGAAAAUACAUUUUCAUUUCAUUGCUCAAUAAGAACAUAAGAAAUUGAGGGAAAACUAGUUUCUAGAAGAACUAUAACUUUUCAGAAGGUGUUCGUUCCCAUGCAUCUGGGAAAUGAGUUCAUACGGGAUAGCAGCCACUUCCAUAGCUUGGUCUGAGUUAUGUAGUUACAGGGCAUUGACAUCCUCUAUUUUCUUAAAUCAGGAAAGAAGAAAAAAACAAAAACCAAAAACAAAACCCACUUACCCGAAGCAUAGUGGGUCAUCCUGCCCCCAAAGAUAUUUUCCAGUCUCUGAUCCAGCCUUCAAAAAUAGUGACCUCUAUUGUCUCACUAACCCCUUACCUGUGCCAAAACCUGAAAUUCUAAUUGUCCUGCUACCUUCAUGUCUUUUAUAGAUGUGUUUCAAGAUAAUCUGGUACCCGAUUUUAAGUUAGGCUAGUGGUUUUUUAAACCUAACGGUGGAUCAGAGUCACCAAAAGGGCUGGUUAAAAUAGAUCACUGGGUUGACCUAUAGAGUUUCUGGAGUGGAUCCUGAAAUUUUCCAUUUCUGCCUCCCUCCCAGAUGAUACUGCUGCUGCUGGUCUGAAGUCUACACUCAGAAAACCACUGGGCUUUCCUGUUCAAGAGGAAAGAGAAUGCUAAGAAAGAUUCCAGCAUUUCCUCAAAGGCGUUUUUGUAUUGCAAGAAGUCAAGACUGUCUGAAUUUAGAUUUUUCAAACUUUCUCAUACUUCUUAAGAAUACUUAAGGAUUCAGGGAAGACAGGAGCUUGAGAGAGCUAGGGAAGAAAUGAUACAAAUUCAGUAGCUUUUGAGUUAGUCUAAACUAAAGUCCCAUUCUGUGAGGUUGGGUUGCUUCAACAUGCCUAUUCCUAAGGGUUUACAGAUUAGCUAGCCCAGUGGUUCUCAACAUGUGGUCACGGGUUCAGCAGGAACAGCAUGACCUGGGAACUUGUUAGAAAAUGCAAAUCCUCAGGUCUUACCCCAGGUGUACUGCGUCAGAGACUCUGGAGCUGUUGUUUACGACCCAUAAUUAACAAGGCCUCCAUGAGAUUUUGAGCGACUCUCACUCUGCCAUGUGAUCCAGAUGGUUUUCAGAUAAAGUUUGAAAACCAGUAAUCAAGUCCAGUUAGAGCUUCCCUCUCUUAGACCCAUUCUAGGUCAGAGAGGGCAGGCUGAGGGGUUCACAGUUGGUCAAUAUCCACAAUGUACUGGUGCAGAUAGAGCCUGGUUAGACAAUCCUCAUGAGAAAGUAUUUUUGCUACUUUUGGAAAAAAAAAAAAAAAAGACAGGGUCAGAUCAUUUUGUAAAUUAUGGCCCCACAUUUUACUGGCUCUGCUUCAAUAGUUUUACUAGCUUUGCUUCAAUAGAAUGCCACAAUCAAUAGUCAUGGAUUUCUGUCUAGCUCAUUAAUUCAAAUUCUUACUAAGGAGCAGUCAGACUGUAGUCCCAAAGCUGAACUUUUCAAAGAAGAUAUAGGAACACAUUAGGAUGAAUUUAUGAUCAACCCUUU